rnacentral:tRNA from 1 species
AACAGAGGUCUAUGAUAAAUUAAGAGCUGCUAACUACUUAAUUAAGCGGUUAAAUUCCGUUUGUCUCUUA